AGAAAUAGUUCUGGUACCAACAGGAGUAGUAGUACGGGUACUACUCACAGGAGUAACACC
rnacentral:tRNA from 1 species